CCUACGGGAGGCUGCAGUGGGGAAUAUUGGACAAUGGGGGGAACCCUGAUCCAGCCAUGCCGCGUGUGUGAAGAAGGCCCUCGGGUUGUAAAGCACUUUCAGUGAGGAAGAACGCCUGGUGGUUAAUACCCAUCAGGAAAGACAUCACUCACAGAAGAAGCACCGGCUAACUCCGUGCCAGCAGCCGCGGUAAUACGGAGGGUGCGAGCGUUAAUCGGAAUUACUGGGCGUAAAGCGCGCGUAGGUGGCUUGAUAAGCCGGUUGUGAAAGCCCCGGGCUCAACCUGGGAACGGCAUCCGGAACUGUCAAGCUAGAGUGCAGGAGAGGAAGGUAGAAUUCCCGGUGUAGCGGUGAAAUGCGUAGAGAUCGGGAGGAAUACCAGUGGCGAAGGCGGCCUUCUGGACUGACACUGACACUGAGGUGCGAAAGCGUGGGUAGCAAACAGGAUUUAGAUACCCUAGUAGUC
rnacentral:rRNA from 1 species